rnacentral:rRNA from 1 species
GAUGAACGCUGACAGAAUGCUUAACACAUGCAAGUCUUUGGCGAAGCUGUGCUUGCACAGCCUAGCCAAGGCGGACGGGUGAGUAACGCGUAAGGAACUUGCCCUGCAGUCAGGGAUAACAGACGGAAACGACUGAUAAGACCUGGUAAAGUCAGGCGGACUCAUGUCCAGCCUGAUGAAAAGAGAUGCUGCAGGAGAGCCUUGCGUCCUAUUAGCUUGUUGGUGGGGUAGCGGCCCACCAAGGCGAUGAUAGGUAGCCGGCCUGAGAGGGUGGACGGCCACAAGGGGACUGAGAUACGGCCCUUACUACUACGGGAGGCAGCAGUGGGGAAUAUUGGACAAUGGGGGCAACCCUGAUCCAGCAAUUCUGUGUGCACGAUGAAGGUUUUCGGAUUGUAAAGUGCUUUCAGCGGGGAAGAAAAAAAUGACGGUACCUGCAGAAGAAGCGACGGCUAAAUACGUG